CUGGGAGUAGCUCAGUUGGGUAAAACGUGAGACUCUUAAUCCCAGGGUCGUGGGUUUGAGCCUCACAUUGAGUGAAAGA